rnacentral:rRNA from 1 species
AUUCCAGCUCCAAUAGCGUAUAUUAAAGUUGUUGCAGUUAAAAAGCUCGUAGUUGGAUCUCGGGUCCAGGCUCGCGGUUCGCCUCGCGGCGAUCACUGCCCGUCCUGACCUACCUCCCGGUUUUCCCUUGGUGCUCUUCGUUGAGUGCUUCGGGUGGCCGGAACGUUUACUUUGAAAAAAUUAGAGUGCUCAAAGCAGGCGGACUGCCUGAAUAAUCGCGCAUGGAAUAAUGGAAUAGGACCUCGGUUCUAUUUUGUUGGUUUUCGGAACUCGAGGUAAUGAUUAAGAGGGACAGACGGGGGCAUUCGUAUUACGGUGUUAGAGGUGAAAUUCUUGGAUCGCCGUAAGACGAACUACUGCGAAAGCAUUUGCCAAGAAUGUUUUCAUUAAUCAAGUACGAAAGUCAGAGGUUCGAAGACGAUCAGAUACCGUCGUAGUUCUGACCAUAAACGAUGCCAACUGGCGAUCCGCGGGCGUUGAUCUAAUGACCCCGCGGGCAGCCUCCGGGAAACCAAAGUUUUUGGGUUCCGGGGGAAGUAUGGUUGCAAAGCUGAAACUUAAAGGAAUUGACGGAAGGGCACCACCAGGAGUGGAGCCUGCGGCUUAAUUUGACCCAACACGGGAAAACUCACCCGGCCCGGACACCGUAAGGAUUGACAGAUUGAGAGCUCUUUCUUGAUUCGGUGGGUGGUGGUGCAUGGCCGUUCUUAGUUGGUGGAGCGAUUUGUCUGGUUAAUUCCGAUAACGUACGAGACUCUAGCCUGCUAAAUAGUUCACCGAUUCACCGAGUCGGUGUUAACUUCUUAGAGGGACAAGUGGCGUUUAGCCACACGAGAUUGAGCAAUAACAGGUCUGUGAUGCCCUUAGAUGUUCGGGGCCGCACGCGCGCUACACUGAAGGAAUCAGCGUGUGUUCUCCCUGAUCCGAAAGGACCGGGUAGCCCGUUGAACCUCCUUCGUGCUAGGGAUUGUGGCUUGCAAUUGUUCCACAUGAACGAGGAAUUCCCAGUAAGCGCGAGUCAUAAGCUCGCGUUGAUUACGUCCCUGCCCUUUGUACACACCGCCCGUCGCUACUACCGAUUGGAUGGUUUAGUGAGAUCCUCGGAUUGGACCCGGCGCGGCGGGCAACCGUCGUGCCGGUGUUCCGAAGAGACGAUCAAACUUGAUCAUCUAGA